AGGGAACCCGGUGCAAAUCCGGGACUGUCCCGCAACGGUAAUCGUGUCUAAACAACACGAAAGUCCGAUACCU
rnacentral:ncRNA from 2 species